GGGUCAGUAGGUUGGUCGUGCCACCGGUACGUACUGGUCUCACUGAUUCCUCCUUCCUGAAUAACCGUAAUGCCAUUUAUUUGGUGUUGCGGGGAAACAGGACUGUUACUUUGAAAAAAUUAGAGUGUUUAAAGCAAGCUAACGCUUGAAUACAUUAGCAUGGAAUAAUGAAAUAGGACGAUCGAUCCUAUUUUGUUGGUUUCUAGGAUUGACGUA
rnacentral:rRNA from 1 species